AUCUAAGCACGAAACUUGCCCCGAGAUGAGUUCUCCCUGAGACUAUAAGUCUCCUGAAGGAACGUUAAAGACGAUGACGUUGAUAGGCCGGGUGUGUAAGCGCAGCGAUGCGUUGAGCUAACCGGUACUAAUGAACCGUGAGGCUUAACCUUACAACGCCGAAG
rnacentral:rRNA from 1 species